rnacentral:tRNA from 1 species
GCCUGGGUGGCUCAGUGGUUGAGCGCCUGCCUUUAGCCCGGGGCAUGAUCCUGAAGUCCUGGGAUCGAGUCCCACAUCAGGCU